rnacentral:rRNA from 1 species
AUGGCUCAGGAUGAACGCUGGCGGCGUGCUUAACACAUGCAAGUCGAACGGAGUUAAGAAGGAAGCUUGCUUCAUUUAAACUUAGUGGCGGACGGGUGAGUAACGCGUGAGGAACCUGCCCUUCAGUGGGGAACAACAACUAGAAAUGGUUGCUAAUACCGCAUAAUGUCGGAUUGCCGCAUGACAAACCGACCAAAGGAUUUAUUCGCUGAAGGAUGGCCUCGCGUCCGACUAGAUAGUUGGUGAGGUAACGGCCCACCAAGUCUGCGAUCGGUAGCCGAACUGAGAGGUUGAUCGGCCACAUUGGGACUGAGACACGGCCCAGACUCCUACGGGAGGCAGCAGUGGGGAAUAUUGGGCAAUGGGCGAAAGCCCUGACCCAGCAACGCCGCGUGAAGGAUGACGGUCUUCGGAUUGUAAGCUUCUUUAAUUGGGGAAGAACAAAAUGACCUACCCAAAGAAUAAGUCACGGCUAACUACGUGCCAGCCGCCGC